GCGGGUGUAACUCAGUUGGUAGAGUGCCAGCUUCCCAUGCUGGAUGUCGUGGGUUCGAAUCCCAUCGCCCGCUCCA
rnacentral:tRNA from 2 species